rnacentral:rRNA from 1 species
UCGAGAAUCAUUCGCAAUGGGCGAAAGCCUGACGAUGCGACGCUGUGUGUAUGAUGAAGGCCUUCGGGUCGUAAAGUACUCUCGCCUGGGAACAAGAGAAGCCGGCUAACAUCCGGCUAAUUUGAGGGUACCAGGUAAAGAAGCACCGGCUAACUACGUGCCAGCAGCUGCGGUAAUACGUAGGGUGCAAGCAUUAAUCGGAAUUAUUGGGCGUAGAGGGCGCGUAGGCGGGAAUGUAAGUCAGAUGUGA